rnacentral:rRNA from 1 species
GAUGAACGCUAGCGGCAGGCUUAAUACAUGCAAGUCGAGGGACAGCACAGGUAGCAAUACUGGGUGGUAACCGGCAAACGGGUGCGGAACACGUACACAACCUUCCUUUAAGUGGGGGAUAGCCCAGAGAAAUUUGGAUUAAUACCCCGUAAUAUAGUUGAAUGGCAUCAUUUGAUUAUUAUAGCUACGGCGCUUAAUGAUGGGUGUGCGGCUGAUUAGAUAGUUGGCGGGGUAACGGCCCACCAAGUCUACGAUCAGUAGCUGAUGUGAGGGCAUGAUCUGGCACACGGGCACGGAGAAACGGGCCCGACUCCUACGGGAGGCAGCAGUAAGGAAUAUUGGUCAAUGGACGCAAGUCUGAACCAGCCAUGCCGCGUGAAGGAUUAAGGUCCUCUGGAUUGUAAACUUCUUUUAUUUGGGACGAAAAAGGGCCUUUCUAGGUCAACUGACGGUACCAGAUGAAUAAGCACCGGCUAACUCCGUGCCAGCAGCCGCCGUAAAAC